rnacentral:rRNA from 1 species
GUGCCAGCAGCCGCGGUAAUACGUAGGGUGCGAGCGUUAAUCGGAAUUACUGGGCGUAAAGCGUGCGCAGGCGGUUAUGUAAGACAGAUGUGAAAUCCCCGGGCUCAACCUGGGAACUGCAUUUGUGACUGCAUGGCUAGAGUACGGUAGAGGGUGGUGGAAUUUCCUGUGUAGAGGUGAAAUUCGUAGAUAUUCGGAAGAACACCAGUGGCGAAGGCGACAUACUGGCUCAUUACUGACGCUGAGGCGCGAAAGCGUGGGGAGCAAACAGGAUUAGAUACCCUGGUAGUCCACGCCGUAAACGAUGUCAACUAGCCGUUGGAAUCCUUGAGAUUUUAGUGGCGCAGCUAACGCAUUAAGUUGACCGCCUGGGGAGUACGGCCGCAAGGUUAAAACUCAAAUGAAUUGACGGGGGCCCGCACAAGCGGU